GUAGGGUGCGAGCGUUAAUCGGAAUUACUGGGCGUAAAGCGUGCGCAGGCGGUUUUGUAAGUCAGAUGUGAAAUCCCCGAGCUCAACUUGGGAACUGCGUUUGAAACUACAAGACUAGAAUAUGUCAGAGGGGGGUAGAAUUCCACGUGUAGCAGUGAAAUGCGUAGAGAUGUGGAGGAAUACCAAUGGCGAAGGCAGCCCCCUGGGAUAAUAUUGACGCUCAUGCACGAAAGCGUGGGGAGCAAACAGGAUUAGAUACCCUGGUAGUCCACGCCCUAAACGAUGUCUACUAGUUGUUGGUGGAGUAAAAUCCAUGAGUAACGCASUAACGCGUGAAGUAGACCGCC
rnacentral:rRNA from 1 species